AAAUACGGUGUAACCCAACGCAUUCCCUCAAACGAGUGGAAUUAUUGAUGCAGGUUCAUAUCUCCGCAAUCAAACCCGUCCGCUCGCCGUUCCCGGUACAUCUCAGGCAGGAUUGUCCUCAGCGUGGUUGCGUGGAUGAACUCUUACCUCCUCACAACGAUCGAAGAGAGAUGUGACGGAGAUCUUAGGGACAGGACCGGGAGUUGGUGACACAACUGACCCGGAGAAGCCGUCGGGAGCCCCGGGGAGAGCUCUCCUUAAUUUGUUCACCCCAAGAGAGGGACCGGCGCCUCGGAAGGCGUCGCGGUUCCGGUGGCGUCCGGCAAGCUCUCACUGACCCGUGAAAAUCCGGAGGGAAAGGGUGUACGACCGGCGCUGGGAUGUACCCGUGUCCGCAGCAGGUCUCCACGGUGAACAGCCUCCGGCACGUCGGAGCAAUGCAGGUAAGGGAAGUCGGCAAGCGGGAUCCGUAACGUCGGGAUAAGGGAUGGGGCGGUGGGGAUGGGCACACACCGCGGUGGCGACUCUGGACACGCACCGGGUCUUCCCCGUGCAUCGUCCGUGGGCUGGAGGGCUCCCACGGCGCGUGCGGGCACACACGGCCACGCGGUUCGGUGUUGGUCGGAAGCACGGCACACCUCUCCGGCAGCCGCAGCCCGGCCC
rnacentral:ncRNA from 1 species